rnacentral:rRNA from 2 species
AAAUUGAAGAGUUUGAUCAUGGCUCAGAUUGAACGCUGGCGGCAGGCCUAACACAUGCAAGUCGAACGGUAACAGGAAGCAGCUUGCUGCUUCGCUGACGAGUGGCGGACGGGUGAGUAAUGUCUGGGAAACUGCCUGAUGGAGGGGGAUAACUACUGGAAACGGUGGCUAAUACCGCAUAACGUCGCAAGACCAAAGAGGGGGACCUUCGGGCCUCUUGCCAUCAGAUGUGCCCAGAUGGGAUUAGCUUGUUGGUGAGGUAACGGCUCACCAAGGCGACGAUCCCUAGCUGGUCUGAGAGGAUGACCAGCCACACUGGAACUGAGACACGGUCCAGACUCCUACGGGAGGCAGCAGUGGGGAAUAUUGCACAAUGGGCGCAAGCCUGAUGCAGCCAUGCCGCGUGUAUGAAGAAGGCCUUCGGGUUGUAAAGUACUUUCAGCGGGGAGGAAGGUGUUGCGGUUAAUAACCGCAGCAAUUGACGUUACCCGCAGAAGAAGCACCGGCUAACUCCGUGCCAGCAGCCGCGGUAAUACGGAGGGUGCAAGCGUUAAUCGGAAUUACUGGGCGUAAAGCGCACGCAGGCGGUCUGUCAAGUCGGAUGUGAAAUCCCCG